AGCGAACGCUGGCGGCAGGCUUAACACAUGCAAGUCGAACGCCCCGCAAGGGGAGUGGCAGACGGGUGAGUAACACGUGGGAACGUACCCUUUGGUUCGGAAUAACUUGGGGAAACUCAAGCUAAUACCGGAUAAGCCCUUAUGGGGAAAGGUUUACUGCCGAAGGAUCGGCCCGCGUCUCAUUAGCUAGUUGGUGAGGUAAUGGCUCACCAAGGCCACGAUCAGUAGCUGGUCGGAGAGGAUGAUCAGCCACACUGGGACUGAGACACGGCCCAGACUCCUACGGGAGGCAGCAGUGCGGAAUAUUGGACAAUGGGGGCAACCCUGAUCCAGCCAUGCCGCGUGAGUGAUGAAGGCCUUAGGGUUGUAAAGCUCUUUUACCCGGGACGAUAAUGACUGUACCGGGAGAAUAAGCCCCGGCUAACUUCGUGCCAGCCGCCGCGGUAA
rnacentral:rRNA from 1 species